CUUUACCCCUGAUGUCAAUUCCUGUGCUUUGCUUAAUAAAAAUAAAAAAAUACCUCUUGCAGAUUUUAGGCUUUUUCAGAGAGCCAGCCAGAGGAUCCUUCCACCUCACCUCUGCUGUCUCCCUUUUGCUCAACCACAAGUCCCAAAAUAAAAAUCUUGUCUGGGAAAUCUGCUUGGCCCUGUGUUAACUUCUGUUACAUGGGAGCCAAAGAGCCUGUGGUCUGUAACAGGUUCUCUGGCAACCAUGACGGGAUUAUAGGACGUGGUGAGCAUUUUUCUCCAAGGAGGAGGCUUGUGAGCCAGCAUGAUGGCGGGGUGUGCCUGCCUCCUUCAUGGGUGACAGGUGGUCACCUGAAUCUUUGAUUCAGCAUUGCCACAACUGCAUGGCUUGGCCCCCACAGCUAUGGCACAGGGAGCAGGGUCAUCAAAAUCCACUCUGCUCUUCCAGAAGCUGCAGAGAGAGGGAACCCUAAAACCUGACAUGCCAGAAAAGAUUGCACUGAAGCUGAGAGAUGUGUAGUCCUAGACUAGAAGAAGAGAUUCAGCUGAGACCAAGGGCUCAGUUGCAGAAAGAAGUGACCACGAGGCUGUGAAAUCCUAAUAAUAAACUGAAAUCCCUGAAAGACUACUGGACUCCUAGAAAUCGAAACCAGUCUUAUAUAGUGAAAUCUCAAAGAAAAGGCCGAACCAAGGUGACAGCAAGGUUACACCACAGACUUAGGAAACUGAAGAACAGGAUUUAAGAAAUUUAAGUGGCAAAACUGGGAU
rnacentral:lncRNA from 10 species